AUGACUGUAUCCUUUACCGAUAACCUUUGCAUCUUCCCACUGGUCAAGAGCUGUGGUUUGCAACCAGUUACGCUAAUGAAGACUGUGGCAUGCCCAGCCUCAUCUGGCUUUACACCAGCACCUGCGGAGAAUUUGACCCACGCCACUGAGUGCUUUGCCCAAUUAAAUGGUGCGGCAGUGGGACUAGUGCUUCCCCGUUACCUCCCAGCAGAAAGGCUGCAGAUUGCAGCUGGAUUUCUCGCAGCACCUGAGCACCUGGUGCAUCCUGAGCCACGCAGCUGGGCAGGCUGGCUUAGUGGCCAGCAGCUGGCAGGGAGCAGCUCUCCCUGUCCUGGACUAGAUCCUCAGUGCGCCACCAAAAGAAGAACCUCCGGGCUGUGUGACCCUGCCAUGGCACUGGUGUGGAGCUGGGACAUGGGGACCCUCUCCUGCUGCUCAUACCACCAGAGCAGCAGAGCACUUUCCCUGCAGGAUGCCUUUGUGCUGGCCAUGCCAUUCCUCUACAGAGGUGAAGCAGAGCAAGCCGGAGCAGGUCCAGGAGCCUUCAGACCUCCCCUCGCAGGCAGCCCUGGUGCAACAUUUCCCCAAACUGCCCAGCGCCCUGAUGCUGAGACCUGUCAGACCUUGCUCAUCCUAAUGUCCCCACGGCCUCUGAGGCACUGCGUUUCCUUGGCAGAAGCAGAGUAAAGCCUUGACCGUGCUGAUAAUUUCUUCUUCUGGACAGUGCUGAUUUGGGUUUUGUUCCUUUCUUUCUGCCUGCAUGGCAGCCCAGCACGCUGGACCUGUGGUCUUGGAGCAGUGCAGUGUGUUGGGGUUCCCCUCCCCAUGGCCACCACCCCCACCAGGCUGUCGCUGCCUGUGGCACCUUCACAGCCCUGCUACAUGCUGGGGAAGAGAGGAGCAAAGUGCUGAGAGAUGAUAAUUCAGCAUAAAUCCUCACUAGAAAGAAAGAAAAAUCCCAGGUGGGGUUUGCAGUGCUGGCUUUUCUUCAAGCCCCAGAGAGCUGCAGGUGGGGGGGAGCACUGGAAGUCACAUCUCCUUCCCCUCCUGCUGCCCCCUCACAGCCACCCCGGCACAGCGGGAGCUGCAAACCGCCCUGGGGCCACCGGCCACAAGCGACUUCCCCAGCGCAGCACAGACUUCUGCUUGGGAAGUGCAGCCGUGGCCGGGGUGCGUGAGCUGCUGCGCCACAGCCCCCCCAGCGCCGGAAGCUGCUGCGUGUUGUGUCUGCUGCAUCGCUGAGAAAAGGCGAUUUCAUGACUUCAUGCAGUGGCUCUGUCUGCUGGGGGGGGGGAAAUAUGCCCUCCUCCGCUUCCUCCUGGCUGCGAGUGAUGGCAGGCGAUGGUGAAGGGGGCACCCGCAGUGAGGAGGCCCAGCCCCGGGGUCCUGUGUGCAGCCUGAGCCUGUCCUGGGGAUGCUCCCUGUCCUGCAGCAGCCUCCCUGCCCCCCUCACCAUGGCCCCAGUGGUUUGGGGGCAGAAAUGGUGAAAAGCCAUCCCUGAGCCAGCGCCUGGUUCCUCAACACCAGCGUCACCCCGGAGAGAUGUCUCCGGCGAGGGCUGGGGCUCCCUGCAGCCCUCCUCAUUGCAGCAACUGCAUUUACAGCCAGAGGGGCUGGGACGCCUUUCGGGGUCAGCCUGGCUCUCGCCGGGGAGCAGAUGCAGCGGGUGCGAGCCUGAGUCCCAGCCGGCCCCUGCACAGCAGUUAUCUGGGUCACAGA
ensembl:lncRNA